CAAAGCGUCAGACUGNUGNGGGGAUCGACUAGAUCGAUCGGAGGUCAAAUGUANNAUAAUAGAAGGUACGAUCAGGUACGAUGAGCGAUCGUCACUUAGCUAGCAUGGAUCGACUGUCCCUGCGACCUGAGCCUGCGUANNAUUAGCUAGGGGGUUAGGAAAGGCCUUCCCAAGGNGACGAACCUAGCUGGUCUGAGAAGGAUGAUCAGCCCACUGGGAUGAGACGGGGCCCAGACUCCUACGGGAGGCAGCANNGGGGAAUAUUGGACAAUGGGCNCAAGCCUGAUCCCCCAUGCCGCGUGUGUGAAAAAGGCCUUCGGGUUGUAAAAGCACUUUAAGUUUGGAGAAAGGCCGUUGGCGAAUACCCAACGGGAAAGAUGUUACCCACAGAAUAAGCACCGGAAUCGGGUGCCAGCAGCCGGGCUAAUACGGAGGGUGCGAGCGUUAAUCCCGAAUUACUGGGCGUAAAGCGCGCGUUGGCGGUUUNUCCUUAAGUCAGCUGGGAAAGCCCGGGGCCAACCUGGGAACUGCAGUUGAUACUGGCCGACUAGAGUACGAGAAGGGAGUAGAAUUCCAGGUGUAGCGGUGGAAUGCUAGUUUAUGGAGGAAAACCAUGGCGAAGGCGGCCUCCUGGCUCCCAUACUGACGCUGAGGUGCGAAAGCCUUGGGGAUCAAACAGGAUAUACCCUGGUCGGUCACGCCGUAAAGAUGUCUACUAGCCGUUGGUUGAGACUUUUCUUAGUGGCGCAGCUAACGCAAAGUAAGUAGACCGCCGGGGAGUACGGCCGCAAGGUUAAAACUCAAAUGAAUUGACGGGGGCCCCACAAGCGGUGGAGCAUGUGGUUUAUUCGAUGCAACGCGAAGAAACCUUACUCUUGACAUCCAGAGAAUUGGCAGAGAUGCCUAGCUCAGCUGGAGACU
rnacentral:rRNA from 1 species